rnacentral:rRNA from 1 species
GUGGGGAAUAUUGGGCAAUGGGGGCAACUCUGACCCAGCAACGCCGCGUGAGGGAUGAAGGCCUUCGGGUUGUAAACCUCUGUCCUCGGGGACGAACAGAUGACGGUACCCGGGGAGGAAGCUCCGGCUAACUACGUGCCAGCAGCCGCGGUAAUACGUAGGGAGCGAGCGUUGUCCGGAAUCACUGGGCGUAAAGGGUGCGUAGGCGGUUUGGUAAGUCAGAUGUGAAAUACCCGGGCUUAACUCGGGGGCUGCAUCUGAUACUGUCAGACUUGAGUACAGGAGAGGAAAGUGGAAUUCCUAGUGUAGCGGUGAAAUGCAUAGAUAUUAGGAGGAACACCAGUGGCGAAGGCGGCUUUCUGGACUGUAACUGACGCUGAGGCACGAAAGCGUGGGGAGCAAACAGGA